rnacentral:rRNA from 1 species
CCUACGGGAGGCAGCAGUGAGGAAUAUUGGUCAAUGGGCGCUAGCCUGAACCAGCCAAGUAGCGUGAAGGAUGACUGCCCUAUGGGUUGUAAACUUCUUUUAUAUGGGAAUAAAGUGCAGCAUGUAUACUGCUUUGCAUGUACCUUAUGAAUAAGGAUCGGCUAACUCCGUGCCAGCAGCCGCGGUAAUACGGAGGAUCCGAGCGUUAUCCGGAUUUCUUGGGUUUAAAGGGAGCGUAGGCGGGUCGUUAAGUCAGUUGUGAAAGUUUGCGGCUCAACCGUAGACUUGCAGUUGAUACUGGAAGCCUUGAGUACAGAAGAGGUAGGCGGAAUUCGUGGUGUAGCGGUGAAAUGCUUAGAUAUCACGAAGAACUCCGAUUGCGAAGGCAGCCUGCUGGACUGUAACUGACGCUGAUGCUCGAAGGUGUGGGUAUCAAACAGGAUUAGAUACCCCAGUAGUC